rnacentral:rRNA from 1 species
CCCGCUGAACUUAAGCAUAUCAAUAAGCGGAGGAAAAGAAACCAACAGGGAUUGCCCUAGUAACGGCGAGUGAAGCGGCAACAGCUCAAAUUUGAAAUCUGGCUCUUUCAGGGUCCGAGUUGUAAUUUGCAGAGGGCGCUUUGGCUUUGGCAGCGGUCCAAGUUCCUUGGAACAGGACGUCACAGAGGGUGAGAAUCCCGUACGUGGUCGCUAGCUAUUGCCGUGUAAAGCCCCUUCGACGAGUCGAGUUGUUUGGGAAUGCAGCUCUAAAUGGGAGGUAAAUUUCUUCUAAAGCUAAAUACUGGCCAGAGACCGAUAGCGCACAAGUAGAGUGAUCGAAAGAUGAAAAGCACUUUGGAAAGAGAGUCAAACAGCACGUGAAAUUGUUGAAAGGGAAGCGCUUGCAGCCAGACUUGCUUGCAGUUGCUCAUCCGGACUUUUGUCCGGUGCACUCUUCUGCAGGCAGGCCAGCAUCAGUUUGGGCGGUGGGAUAAAGGUCUCUGUCACGUACCUCUCUUCGGGGAGGCCUUAUAGGGGAGACGACAUACCACCAGCCUGGACUGAGGUCCGCGCAUUUGCUAGGAUGCUGGCGUAAUGGCUGUAAGCGGCCCGUCUUGAAACACGGACCAAGGAGUCUAACAUCUAUGCGAGUGUUUGGGUGUCAAGCCCGAACGCGUAAUGAAAGUGAACGGAGGUGGGAACCCGCAAGGGUGCACCAUCGACCGAUCCUGAUGUCUUCGGAAGGAUUUGAGUAAGAGCAUGGCUGUUGGGACCCGAAAGAUGGUGAACUAUGCUUGAAUAGGGUGAAGCCAGAGGAAACUCUGGUGGAGGCUCGCAGCGGUUCUGACGUGCAAAUCGAUCGUCAAAUUUGGGCAUAGGGGCGAAAGACUAAUCGAACUAUCUAGUAGCUGGUUCCUGCCGAA